CUUAAUUUUUUAAUCAAUAAAACUGGAUCAUUUAUUCAUAUAUUAAUGUUAAUAAAUCUUAAAAGUUUUUUAAAUUUUAAUAUCACCCCAAUAAAAUUUUUUAUUAAAUUAUAAAUCUUAAAAUUCUUUUUAAUUUAUAAAUAACAAAAAUAAAGAUCUAUAGGGUCUUCUCGUCCUUUAAUUUUAUUUUAACUUUUUGAUUAAAAAAUAAAAUUCUAUAUAAUUUUAAAAAAGACAGUAUAUAUCUCAUUCC
rnacentral:rRNA from 1 species